rnacentral:rRNA from 1 species
AUGGUGGUAGUAGUCGCCGUAGUCACCACGGUCCAGGCUGCCUCCAUAGUAGUCGCCACGGUCCCUAGACCGCGAGGAGCGAUCACGGUCCCUGGCGUGGUGACGGUAGGGGCUCGGGCUCCGGCUGCUCCUGCUGUGGCUCCUCCUGGACCUAUGCAGGUGCCCAUACAGCCUCUUCCUGAGGUCCCUGCCAAUCUCCUUGACAUGCAUGAAGUUGCAGUACCCUCCACGGUUGCAGUUGUGCUCCUCGAACUGCCGGCAGGUGGCCUCCCGGAAGUCGGUGACGGGCGAGAACUCAGCAAUGAUGGGGCGGCCCGAGUAGAACCUCCCCUGCAGCGCCUGGAGCGCCUUGGUGGCCUGGUCCUCCUCCCUGAACUGCACGUAGACGUUGCCGAUGAGGUGGUCGGCGAGGUUGUCGCAGACGUGCAGGUUCUCGACCUCGCCGUGCUUGCUGAGCUCGUCGAAGAUGUCCUCGUAGAAGUCCUCGAAGUCGCCCUGGAUCUUGACGGGGUCGAUGGGGUUGCCCUGCGCGUCCACGCCCGGGGUGAUCAUGUCGGGGCGCUGGUACAUGUUGCAGAGCAGCAGCGUGGGCGAGACGGACGGCUUGUUGUGCAGGCGGGAGCAGCGGUCGCCGUGCCGGCACGCGCCGAUCUUGAAGUAGAACGGGCAGUUCACGCGGUCCUUCUCCGUGCCGAAGAUCGACGCGAGGUGCUCGGCCAUGGCGCCGCCCCCCGGAUUCGCGCCCCCGCAGAAAAGCUAGAGAUCUCUGCACUCCCAUCACACGAAUCACAAAUCACACACACGAGAUUGCAGCCAAGAUUAACGGAUAAACACUCAAAGGAGGGGGAACAAGAACUUGUCAUGAGUAGAUACUGCAAGCAACUCAUCCCAAUUCCGGUGGAACCUUCAAAAUCAGCAGGCACUUAA